AGCUUUGCGCAGUGGCAGUAUCAUAGCCAAUGAGGUUUAUCCGAGGCGCGAUUAUUGCUAAUUGAAAACAAGCUAUACUACAAAGCGGUGGUCAUCAAGACAGUGUAGUACUGGUACAAAAACAGAUACAUAGACCAGUGGAACAGAAUAGAAAACCCAAAAAUGGA
rnacentral:snRNA from 1 species